GUUAAAGAUCACCUUGAAUGCAGUGCAAGUCACCUUAGAUAAGUGAUGCAAAUGACUAAAUGUAAAUGUACACAGACAUGCAUGUGAGCAUUUGUUCUAUAAGUGCAUACAUGCAUGCAUAUAGUAUUCGUGUGCUCGUGUCACAUGUUCAUGUAAGCGCACCAUCGAUUAUCUGCAUUUUAGCACAUAUGGCCUGUUGGCAUGUAUGUGUGUGCUCAUGCAUACACAUGCAAAAGAACAGAAAAAGAGCGAACUCUAAUCUGUUCGAGCACCUCAACAGUUCAACUGUGCCCUUCAACAGUUGUCAUUUGCUUCUUCAAAUAACUUUGUCAUCGAAGAGAGAUUAAAAAACGCCUCAAAUGAAUGCGAACAAAGGCACAGCAGAGGAGCAACACGGUGCAAAUUGCCUGAUGAUGAGGUGGCUAAUCCCACUGCUAGUUUAAUUGAUACUUAAAGGCCUGCUAUCCGCUCUGAAGUGCUGAGAGGAUACAAACCGCCUCGGCCAAGGUGUGGUAACAGGGUGAGUAACUGUAAGUGAGUUCUCUGUCUGCUAAUGCUCUCUUGCCUUCCUCUGCAGUCUCAGCUCGCUCCUGUUUGCACCAGUGCAUAAUAGAGCCGUUUUAAUCACUGUCUAUUGUUUUGGGCUUUCUUUUCGCACCCCGAUGGCGGUGAAACCUCAGACCUUGUUUUUCCGCAUUAUACCAGUUGUCUCAGACAGUGUCUUGUCACUCGCAGGGCAGCAUGAGUCCAGAGUGUUGUUGUGUUGACAGGCAGAGCUGUGCAGUGUUACCUGUGGAAGUUUGCAUGCACAAAUGAGCAGAAUGGUUUCGGAUGGUGAUGUAGUCGCUCUGGAAGCACUGCAGGCGAUUCAAGGUGGACAAAAUGCAUCACACUUUUGGCUGCAAAAUAAUCAUCACAACAUCCUCACAUUGCGUUCGGAAGUUGCAUCCAAUUUGACGAGUGUGUGUAUGAAGCAUGCGGCGAAAGCUGUAUCUCCUGUUCUGUUUGGUUCCUGGCCCCAUAUGCCACUUUCCUAUUUCCUGGCUGUAGACAGCAGGGAGUAGCUCUAUUAUCACCUCCACUGAGCUGUCUUUGAAUGUGAGAGGCAAUUCCAUUUCACUUUGCCACGGGGAGGAGGAGGCAGGCGUACUACCCAGCUCAAAGAAAUUGGCUAAGGGUUCAUUUUUAUAGACGGAGUGCAAGGACAACGCUUUUCCUCUCGUGUUACUGAGGGUUUCAAAUGUACUACACUAAUGCCACGAUUGCUAUGGUGAAAAUUGCUCAAUAUGAGUUUUGACAGGUGCAUGGAUCAAAACUGUUUGUUUGCAUCAGAGAGGUGUCAUUGCAUUUAAAUAUUGCACAUCCAGCCAUUUAUUCAUAUAGAUGUGUUUCUAGCAUUGCUAUUGAUGCACAGGCCGUUCUUGAAUUUUCUCUUUGGUUUGUUUGAACCAAAACAUGCUUUAUGCAAGUAUU
ensembl:lncRNA